AUUGAACGCUGGCGGCAUGCCUUACACAUGCAAGUCGAACGGUAACAGGUCUUCGGAUGCUGACGAGUGGCGAACGGGUGAGUAAUACAUCGGAACGUGCCCGAGAGUGGGGGAUAACGAGGCGAAAGCUUUGCUAAUACCGCACACGAUCUCAGGAUGAAAGCAGGGGACCGCAAGGCCUGGAGCCCACGGAGCGGCCGAUGGCAGAUUAGGUGGUUGGUGGGAUAAAAGCUUACCAAGCCGACGAUCUGUAGCUGGUCUGAGAGGACGACCAGCCACACUGGGACUGAGACACGGCCCAGACUCCUACGGGAGGCAGCAGUGGGGAAUUUUGGACAAUGGGCGCAAGCCUGAUCCAGCCAUGCCGCGUGCAGGAUGAAGGCCUUCGGGUUGUAAACUGCUUUUGUACGGAACGAAAAGACUCUGGUUAAUACCUGGGGUCCAUGACGGUACCGUAAGAAUAAGCACCGGCUAACUACGUGCCAGCAGCCGCCGUAACAC
rnacentral:rRNA from 1 species